UACAGAGGUGGCAAGCGUUUGUUCGGAAUUACUGGGCGUAAAGGGCGCGUAGGCGGUCUUGUAAGUCCUGUGUGAAAUCCCUCGGCUUAACUGAGGAACUGCACGGGAUACUGCGAGACUUGAGAUCGGGGAGAGGGAAGCGGAAUUCCGGGUGUAGCGGUGAAAUGCGCAGAUAUCAGGAGGAACACCAAUGGCGAAGGCAGCUCGCUGGGACGGUACUGACGCUGAGGCGCGAAAGCGUGGGGAGCAAACAGG
rnacentral:rRNA from 1 species